UGGUGCGUUUGCCUGAGUUCUUGUCCUAC
rnacentral:piRNA from 1 species